rnacentral:lncRNA from 1 species
CUCGCCCCAAGAAGCUCUCCUAAGAGCUGCCAUGUUGUGCCAAACAUGCAACAAGCCCUCAUGCCGGUGGUGAGAGAGCUGGUACCAGUCGGACGAUCACAGACCCAGCACUGUCUGCGUCCCCGGCACACCCCAGGGAUCAGAAUCAGCCAGCACCCACUGGUACCCACACCCAUUCUGGGUCUGCUGCUGCUGCUGCUGGUCUCCAUUCUGCUGCUCAGCCAGUCCCCACCGCCCACCUGGCCGCACCUGCAGCUCUACUACCUACAGCCGCCACCAGUGUGAGGCCCUUCUCAGUAGACAGCCCACCCAUUUCCACCACUGUACUGCCUGCUGUCACUGCUGUCAGCACUGGGCCCACAUCCCUAAGUUGUGUUAUGUGACCAUGGCCUCUCCUGGCUUCUCCUGUUUCUUAACAAUAGCAAAUCUCGCAGUCAUGACUUG